AUGUUGCCUCCAGAAUGUAGUCACCUGCUAGUGGAGGAGUAUAUGGGGGACACUGAGGACCCAGAGACCCUGCAAGCACAGUUCAGAGAGAUGCUGGGGGACUUCAUGUUUGUGAUCCCUGCUCUCCAAGUGGCACAUUUCCAGCGUUCCCAGGCUCCUGUCUACUUCUAUGAGUUCCAGCAUCUGUCCAGCUUCAUCAAGCAUGUCAGGCCAUCACAUGCGAAGGCAGACCAUGGUGAUGAUGUUGCCUUUGUCUUUGGCUCCUAUUUCUGGGGCAUGAAAUGUGAGUCUUUCAUGUUUUCCUAGAGCUGAAUGGAACAUCAGAUGAGUUCCUGAGGGGUUAUUGAGC
rnacentral:lncRNA from 1 species